CUCUCUCUCUCUCGCAGACCGGCACCGGCUAGCGGCUGAAAACCGGGCACCCUCCGCGGACACGGAACCUGACAGGAGCGUGGAAGAAGGAAUAAUGGGUCAUGAUGAACUUCACCAUGUUGCUGUUUUAUUUCCUGAUGUUUCCACUUCCUCACUCUGGCCCAUCAAAGUUUUUCCCCCGCCAGGUCGAGCGCCCCCAUUGGCUGGACUGUCCCAACAUGGCAGAGCCUGAUUGGCUGCUUCCGGACAGCACCGGUGGCUUUUGAAGAAGCUCAGCGCGGGAAAUAAAGUGACGUUUGCCAUGA